ensembl:lncRNA
GUGCAGGACUUGUACAACAGUGGUUAUGACUUUGACCAUGCAUUGUUAAAGUCAGGUAUUGUUUUGUACACACUGAAAUAUUAACCAACACUGGGAAUGUUCUCAUGAGAUGGAUUGUAAAUCAUAUUAUGCUGUGAUGCCCUGGCAGUAGUUUAGAAAAUGAAGUGUUUUUUCUUGGCAAAUUAUGCAAAUUAGGUAUCCAUUUAUCACACUAAGUACAGCUACUUUCUUAAGUUAAACUCAAUUUUGCUACUUAUUGUUUCCAUAACAAUAGCAGGCAUAUCGCUCCCAGAAAAUUAUAUUUAGAAGAUUAGAAGCUUGCUUGAAUUAGAUUUCCAGUGUUUCCAUUUGAGGAGAAACAUUUUCUAUUUAAAAGACUGUGGCUGACUACCUCUGGCUGUGCUUGAAACACUUGAGAAAUAGAAUUGCAGGAAGUGAAAGGUUAUCUAAUUUCUGAGUGAUAAAUUGUAUAUAGAUACAGGCAGAAUGGCUGAUUUUCCUUGUCUUUGAUCAAAAUGAUAAGGGGUUACCUCAAACAUAGAUGGUUGUGCAGGCAUUCAUUCCACUACUUUUUUUUUUUUUUUUUUUACUCUGGGUAUGACCAAGAAGAUGCCUGAUUUAUGCACAAUAUUCAUCUUGCAUCACAGUGUUCAUGUCAGUGUUUCUGUUCUCUUUGUGUGAAUGUGUUUGCCUGCGGUGCCCCGAGUGUGAUCAGUGCCAGGCAGUCUUUUUUUAAGUAAUACAAAGAGAUCUUAAAAAAGCAUUAUAAGCAAUGGCUAAAUAUUCUAUGGUGCUAAGUAGAGGAGUAACUAUCGCAGAUGGAAUCGCUUGUUGUUCGAGGUUAAAAAUAUUACCAUUCGACAGAGUCUGUGUAACAGAAAAAAGGACAUACGCUGUCUUUUUUGUUCCUAAGGACGUCUUCACCAUAGAUCAUAAUGUGAGCGUCUGUCUGGAGGGUUUUAAUCGAAAUCUAUGUGAAGAGUAUAAUGGGCCUAAUCUGUCAAAAUCUGCUGGUUCCACUCCAGUUUGAGUGUGGAGGGAGAGAGAGAAAAAAGGAAAAAUUCCCUGCAUGUUAUUCCUAUAAUUGAGCUACCACUCUUGUGCUGUUGAGAACUUGUGUGCGUCACACGGCUGCUGGCAAAACUAUAAAACGUAAUGUUGCAGAAAAGAUAAGGGAACAAAUAUAUCAAAUGAGCUGAAGAGUAGUUGUUAGCAAUCAAAAUGCCAACCUCCUGCUUCUCUCCUGGUACCACAGAACCCAAUGAUAGUGAGGGCAAAAACACCGGUAAGGUAUGAGAAAGUAAAUGGCCAGACUAUUAUAUUCCUAUAAUAAUUUUAUCACUGGCUGUAUAAAU